GUACACACGAACGGAGCUGCGCAAGAGUUGGUCUAAAGGAAACCAGCAAACUCACCAACGAAAUGCAAAACCCGUUGUCACUCUCGCGGUAUUAUUUUCUCUCUCUCGUUCAGUCUAAUAGGUACUGUCGCCCUCCCUUUAUCUCCUCAACUUACUUUCGGUUUGGAUGCCUAGAAAACACAUCAGUUAAAAAUUUAACAUUUUUAUGCAGUUGGGUUUUGGUUACGGUAUGGAAUUAUUGAUUUCUCUGUUUCUACGAGGUUUGAUUGGAUUUGGGUGGAGUGAUGGAGGGUUUUUCUCGGCGCCUUUCAUCUUCAAUGCUGAUGGAAGUGAGAAACCACUGUACUGGAAGGCCACGAAUCCCACUUUAUCGCCUCCGCAUCUUCAUGAUUUCCCAGUUUCACACGCAGUGUCUACAAAAGAGACCAUGCUUUAAUAACACCCGAAAGUCAUGUAUUUAGCCCUUUGCCCGACUGGACAAACACAUUGGGAGCAUAUUUAAUCUCUCCUGCAAGGGGUGCACUUUUUGCAUGUACCUGGCAAAGAUGCAAGGUUCCAGUCAUAUUUGAGCUCUUAAAUACUAUUUUUGUAGCCAAAUCGAGCUUGUGAUUUGUCAAGGCAUAGCAUGAAGAUGUCUUUAAGACCCCAACUGCUGCAGACUUAUCAUUUUUGGUGUCUUGUAUGCCAGUCUGGGAAAUCAUAUUUCUGAGUUUAUUCUUGGUUCA